GUGGGAUCCACUAGUGGUUCUGGGGGGGUAGUGCUUUUGUGACAACAAUUUUGUGCCACCCCCCUAAAUGUGGAGUUUGAAAUUAUUUUUACAUAACUAAUUUUUGCUAUCAUUCUUUUUUUUACAUCCAUUAUUAGACAGUGGCAGAUGAUGAUUAAUGAACAUGGUGUUCCUGCAAUGCAGUGAAUAAAACGAUAUGACAACGUCUAAUGUAGCUGGCCCCUCUAACAGUACAACUGGCCCAGCUUGGCCCCCCCAGUUGAAAUGGUCUAGAACCACCACUAGUAGGAUCUUCCACAGCCCAGAGGUGCAGAAAUCGUACUGCCAGAGGAGUUGGGGAGAUCAGAAUGGGCAUUCUGUUUCAUGUUGGUAUUGUCAAGUGCUAGCCCGUCUCCAGAUCCAACCUGACACCAGGGUUGUGUUCAUUGGGCACCAAAUGGAAGAACAUCAACUGAAAUGCGAAGAGAGAGAGAGGAGGAGGAGGAUGAGAGGAAGAGGAGGAGAGCACUGAAGACGUCUGCUUACAACCUGCAUGGACACCCUAGAAGACUUUCCUUCAGAAUUGGAACACCUUUUGUUUCUCCUCUGCUGCCUCUACAGGUACUCAGCCGCCAAUCACCAUCUUCC
ensembl:lncRNA